rnacentral:rRNA from 1 species
CGCGGCCUAUCAGCUUGUUGGUGAGGUAACGGCUCACCAAGGCAAUGACGGGUAGCUGGUCUGAGAGGACGAUCAGCCACACUGGAACUGAGAUACGGUCCAGACUCCUACGGGAGGCAGCAGGAGGGGAUCUUGCGCAAUGGGCGAAAGCCUGGCGCAGCGACGCCGCGUGGGGGAUGAAUGCCUUAGGGUUGUAAACCCCUUUCACGAGGGAAGAAACUGACGGUACCUCGAGAAGAAGCCCCGGCCAACUACGUGCCAGCAGCCGCGGUAAUACGUAGGGGGCGAGCGUUGUCCGGAUUUAUUGGGCGUAAAGGGCUCGUAGGCGGCUUGGCAAGUCGGCCGUGAAAACCCAGGGCUCAACUCUGGGACGCCGGUCGAUACUGCCAUGGCUAGGGUCCGGUAGAGGGGAAUGGAAUUCCCGGUGUAGCGGUGAAAUGCGCAGAUAUCGGGAGGAACACCAGUAGCGAAGGCGGUUCCCUGGGCCGGCACCGACGCUGAGGAGCGAAAGCGUGGGGAGCAAACAGGAUUAGAUACCCUGGUAGUCCACGCCGUAAACGUUGGGUACUAGGCGUGGCGUCUUAUCAACGGAUGCCGUGCUCGAAGCUAACGCGUUAAGUACCCCGCCUGGGGAGUACGG